rnacentral:rRNA from 1 species
GCGCGAAAACUUUACAAUGCGGGAAACCGUGAUAAGGGGACACCGAGUGCUAGCAUCAUAUGCUGGCUGUCCAGGUGUGUAAAAUACACCUGUUAGCAAGGGCCGGGCAAGACCGGUGCCAGCCGCCGCGGUAACACCGGCGGCCCGAGUGGUGAUCGUGAUUAUUGGGUCUAAAGGGUCCGUAGCCGGUUUGGUCAGUCCUCCGGGAAAUCUGAUAGCUCAACUAUUAGGCUUUCGGGGGAUACUGCCAGACUUGGAACCGGGAGAGGUAAGAGGUACUACAGGGGUAGGAGUGAAAUCUUGUAAUCCCUGUGGGACCACCUGUGGCGAAGGCGUCUUACCAGAACGGGUUCGACGGUGAGGGACGAAAGCUGGGGGCACGAACCGG